UCCAAACAUCGGGUACCAUUGCUAGAUGGUCACUUCGAUUAGUACAGGAAUUGGUUCCUGUGCUACCGGUUUAGGUUCGAACCUGCGGGGUCACACACAUUAGAGGUUCCUAUCUGAUCUGAUGGCUGAUGAAGAGUCCUAAUACUCAUGGACUAUAUGUCCUACAUGUCUGGGACUCUGUGAUUGAGAAUCAGGAUUCUCUGAUCAUGAGUCCCACACAUUUUGGGUACCGGGGUCAAGAGUCCCACUGGUUUGGGACUCUUCGAUCAGGGUUACAUAUCGAUGAAUUCUGAUGCCCGAUUACCCAUCAGAU
rnacentral:lncRNA from 1 species